AGCGAACGCUGGCGGCAGGCUUAACACAUGCAAGUCGAGCGGGCCCUUCGGGGUCAGCGGCGGACGGGUGAGGAACGCGUGGGAACGUGCCUUCUGGUCUGGAAUAACCCUGGGAAACUAGGGCUAAUACCGGAUACGCCCCUUUGGGGCAAGGUUUACUGCCGGAAGAUCGGCCGGCGUCUGAUUAGCUGGUUGGUGGGGUAACGGCCUACCAAGGCGACGAUCAGUAGCUGGUCUGAGAGGAUGAUCAGCCACACUGGGACUGAGACACGGCCCAGACUCCUACGGGAGGCAGGAGUGGGGAAUAUUGGACAAUGGGGGCAAGCCUGAUCCAGCCAUGCCGGGUGAGUGAUGAAGGCCUUAGGGUUGUAAAGCUCUUUUAUCCGGGACGAUAAUGACGGUACCGGAGGAAUAAGCCCCGGCUAACUUCGUG
rnacentral:rRNA from 1 species